GAAACUCGCCUACAUGAAGCUGGAGUUACUAGUAAUCGCAGAUCAGAAUGCUGCGGUGAAUGCGUUCCCGGGUCUUGUACACACCGCCCGUCACACCACGGAAGUUGGGGGCGCCCGAAGCCACUUAGCUAACCCAUUUGGGAAGCGAGUGUCGAAGGUGAAAUCAAUAACUGGGGUGAAGUCGUAACAAGGUAGC
rnacentral:rRNA from 1 species